CCUACGGGUGGCUGCAGUGGGGAAUAUUGGGCAAUGGAGGAAACUCUGACCCAGCAAUGCCGCGUGAAUGAAGAAGGUCUUCGGAUUGUAAAGCUCUUUUGUCAGGGACGAAUAAAAUGACGGUUCAUGAAGAAUAAGCUCACGCUAACUACGUGCCAGCCGCCGCGGUAAUACGUAGGGAGGAAGCGUUGUUCGGAAUGACUGGGCAGAAGAGGUGCGUAUGCGGUUAUUCAAGGUAGAAGGGAAAUACCCCGGGCUUAACUCGGGAGGGGCUUCGAAAACCGGAAGACUUGAGUGCAGUAGAGGAUAGUGGAAGUCCAAGUGUAGCGGUGGAAUGCGUAGAUAUUAGGAGGAACACCAGAGGCGAAGGCGGCUAACUGGACUGCAACUGACGCUGAGGCACGAAAGUGUGGGGAGCAAACAGGAUUAGAUACCCGGGUAGUC
rnacentral:rRNA from 1 species